CACACACACACACACACACACACACACACACACACACACACACACACACACACACACACACACACACACACACACACACACACACACACACACACACACACACACACACACACACACACACACACACACACACACACACACACACACACACACACACACACACACACACACACACACACACACACACACACACACACACACACACACACACACACACACACACACACACACACACACACACACACACACACACACACACACACACACACACACACACACACACACACACACACACACACACACACACACACACACACACACACACACACACACACACACACACACACACACACACACACACACACACACACACACACACACACACACACACACACACACACACACACACACACACACACACACACACACACACACACACACACACACACACACACACACACACACACACACACACACACACACACACACACACACACACACACACAGGUGUGCCAGGACAGGUGAGCUGUACCUCAGGUGUGCCAGGCCAGGUGAGCUGUGACACACACACAGGUGUGCCAGGACAGGUGAGCUGUGGCACACACAGGUGUGCCAGGACAGGUGAGCUGUCCCUCAGGUGUGCACAGGUGCGUGCAGAGCGAGGCUCGAGCGCUGUGUGAGUGUGCACGAGGGUGUGUCAGCCACACGCAGGUGUGUCCCCAGCCCCGCCUCCCGUGGGCGUGUCCCUGUCACUCCCGUGCCCCCCGGGCGUGUCCCUGUCACACUCCCGUGUCCCCAGGGCGUGUCCCUGUCACACACAUGUCCCCAGGGCGUGUCCCUGUCACACACAUGUCCCCAGGGCGUGUCCCUGUCACACACAUGUCCCCAGGGCGUGUCCCUGUCACACACAUGUCCCCCGGGCGUGUCCCUUGCACACGCGUGUGCGCAGGCGUCUCUGCGCUCGCUGUGGUUUGCAGCAGGAAGCGCCUCGAGCGCGGCCUCCGCCUUCCUGCCACCCGCGCGGGGACAGCGCCGGGACCCCCCUGCCGUGUCCCCCGUGUCCCGGCCGUGUCCCCCGCGCUGUCCCCAUCCCUGUCCCCAGCCCUGUCCCCAUGUCCCGGGCGCUCAAGGCCCGGCACCGGGCGAGGCGCAAGGGCGGCUCCCGGGAGCGGCUCUUCGGCUGCGACCUCCGCGAGCAUCUCCAGCGCUCGGGGCACGACGGUGAGUGCCACCCCCCCGGCCCCCCCCCCCCCCCCCCCCCCCCCCCCCCCCCCCCCCCCCCCCCCCCCCCCCCCCCCCCCCCCCCCCCCCCCCCCCCCCCGGGCCGGCGGCGGAAGCGGGGAGGGGGCCCCGGAGGGGACUCGAGGGGGCACUUGCGCCACACGUUGCGUCAGCGGAGCUGCAGGAAGCGCCGCGGCCACCGGGGCUCGGCCGGGAUUUGGGGGGGUUGGAGCUCGGCGGGGCUCCAAUCUCGGGGCUUUGGCCCUGGAGGGUUUGGGGGGGCUGUUCCUUGGGGUUGGUGGCUCCACCCUUUGGGAUUUGGUGGCCUCAUCCCUGCGGAUUUGGUGGCCC
rnacentral:lncRNA from 12 species